CUGGCGGCGCGCCUAAACAUGCAAGUCGAACGAGAAAGGGGAGCAAUCCCUGAGUACAGUGGCGUACGGGUGAGUAACACGUGGGUAAUCUGCCCUUUGGUGGGGAAUAACCCUGGGAAACCGGGGCUAAUACCGCAUAAGUCCGAGAGGAGAAAGCAGCAAUGCGCCGAAGGAGGAGCCCGCGGCCGAUUAGCUAGUUGGUAGGGUAAAAGCCUACCAAGGCAAAGAUCGGUAGCCGGCCUGAGAGGGCACACGGCCACACUGGCACUGAAACACGGGCCAGACUCCUACGGGAGGCAGCAGUGGGGAAUCUUGCACAAUGGGGGAAACCCUGAUGCAGCGACGCCGCGUGAGCGAUGAAGCCCUUCGGGGUGUAAAGCUCUUUCGGCAGGGAAGAUGAUGACGGUACCUGCAGAAGCAGCUGCGGCUAACUACGUGCCAGCAGCCGCGGUAAUACGUAGGCAGCAAGCGUUGUUCGGAGUUACUGGGCGUAAAGGGUGUGUANGCGGUUUGGUAAGUCUGGUGUGAAAUCUCCCGGCUCAACUGGGAGGGUGCGCCGGAAACUGCCGGAC
rnacentral:rRNA from 1 species